rnacentral:rRNA from 1 species
AGAGUUUGAUCCUGGCUCAGGACGAACGCUGGCGGCGUGCUUAACACAUGCAAGUCGAGCGGAAAGGCCCUUUCGGGGGUACUCGAGCGGCGAACGGGUGAGUAACACGUGAGUAACCUGCCCUGGACUUUGGGAUAACCCUCGGAAACGGGGGCUAAUACCGGAUACGACAUUCCACCGCAUGGUGUGUUUGUGGAAAGUUUUUUCGGUCUGGGAUGGGCUCGCGGCCUAUCAGCUUGUUGGUGGGGUGAUGGCCUACCAAGGCGACGACGGGUAGCCGGCCUGAGAGGGCGACCGGCCACACUGGGACUGAGACACGGCCCAGACUCCUACGGGAGGCAGCAGUGGGGAAUAUUGCACAAUGGGCGGAAGCCUGAUGCAGCGACGCCGCGUGAGGGAUGACGGCCUUCGGGUUGUAAACCUCUUUCAGCAGGGACGAAGCGCAAGUGACGGUACCUGCAGAAGAAGCGCCGGCCAACUACGUGCCAGCAGCCGCGGUAAGACGUAGGGCGCGAGCGUUGUCCGGAUUUAUUGGGCGUAAAGAGCUCGUAGGCGGCUUGUCGCGUCGACUGUGAAAACCCGCGGCUCAACCGCGGGCCUGCAGCCGAUACGGGCAGGCUAGAGUUCGGUAGGGGAGACUGGAAUUCCUGGUGUAGCGGUGAAAUGCGCAGAUAUCAGGAGGAACACCGGUGGCGAAGGCGGGUCUCUGGGCCGAUACUGACGCUGAGGAGCGAAAGCGUGGGGAGCGAACAGGAUUAGAUACCCUAGUAGUCC